rnacentral:lncRNA from 1 species
AGCGACUUCCUGUCCGUGGGCUGAGAGGAGGGUGAUCAUGGGCCUGGGCCGCAGAACAGUGGCUCGGAGGGCGCAGGCUGCCCGGCCUCCGCCCCCUGCAAGCUGAGGGCUGUCCGCGCUGUCUUUCCGACGGCCCCACCCCCGGCUCUCUGAGCUCCGCGAGGUGAAGUCAUCUCCCGGGGGCUCGGGAGUGGCCGCGGGCCUCGCGGAGGUUCCCGGAUCUCGGCGUCGUUGCCGCGGUGUCCUUGUCUUUCUUUUGGGGACCAGGAGGGGGUUCUUGGGGGAAGGAGGGGAGAGCGGAGGCCGCCAUCUUGCUUCUAGAGGGUCAGCUCAUGUUCCCUGGGCGUCUCAGGGUUGAGGCCGCUCGUGUGGCGUGGCCGGGGGUAUUCAGAGCGGAGCUGGCGACGUGGCUUGUCACGGGCCAAAUCCCAGGAGGCGGGUCAGCCGCCUACCCUGGCUGGAGGGUCUCGUGGCUGCCCUGGGCCUCAUCUAACUGCUGAUCCCCUGGAGAAUUCGCUUUCUCGGACGGUCUGCGAGUUCUUUCUGAGGGGUGUCGGACCCCCCUGCGACUCUGCAGGUGUCGGUGUGGCACUGAGAUCAUCUUGCGGCCCCAUGGCACUGUGAUUUGGUAGCUUGUGAGAAGUAGUUUCACUAAAUCCGUAAAUUUAAGUUAGCAGCUACAGAUUCUUAUGUCUUGACAUUUAUUCGCUUAUCUCUCUUUGCUCCCCACAAAUUGAGUACCAACUAUAUUCCUGGUAUGAGCCAUUCAAGGAAUGUCCAGUCUAGUGGGCAGACAUACAUGAAAGCAAAUCAUUGCUAUUGGAAGUAUGGUUUAUCAAGAUGUACAGCGUGAAGAAUGGAUAGCUUUACUAACGUAGGUUAGAGUUUUAAAGAUAAAUAGGCAUUUUCUACUACAAAAAUAGGGGUGGGAUGGCAAAUCCGGAUCCGAACAGAAAGGAGAUGCAGCACGGGGACAAAUAAUUUGUUGAGAAGAAUGAGUAAUAAUUACAGGUCUUGAAGUUCAAACUUAGGUUGCUGAAGAAGAUGAGGCUGGAGAAGAAAACAGGAGCCAAAUCACGAAUCGUCUAUGCCUUGGUGAGGCAAUGAGUGGACAGAUUACAAUUUAAGCUAUUCUUCUGUUGGUAGAGAACAGAUAACUUGGGGGGGUGGAGGUGGGGGGGCAGAGAAGGAUAAGCAGAGAGCCCACAAGGGGGCCAUUGCAGAAGCCAGUAAGAGAAAACUUAAGGACCCUGUGUGAAUGGUAGUGAGCAUCCAAAGGAGAUGGAUUCCUAAAAUAUUCAAGAGGCCAUAUCAACUGGUAAUUGGUUGCUAGGGGCAGCUGCCAGAUAGGAGAAUGGAAGAGGCAAUGAUGAUGCCUUGUUUUGCUUUGAGGGAGGGGCAGGAUAAGGGUGUAUUUUACUAAAUAAGAUAAGGAAGAGUUAGGAUGAGUCCUGGGAGGGGACAUUUUUGCAGAAAAAAAAUGAGUUCAGUUUUGGAGUUGAUGAGUGAAGUAAGAGUGGUGCUGUCUAAUGGUGGUUGCUAUAUGGGUCUAGAGCUCUAGGGAGGAGCUGGGCUGAAGUUGGAAACACCACAGGUUUAGAUGACCAUAACCAAGCUGACUGCAGUCUUACGUCAUUGAGCACAGUUUCAAAACCACUUCUCCUUUCUCCCUGCCUUUACUUGGGAAAAUUACUGAAAUACUGCAUUAAAAAACCCAAUAUGGUGAUAUGUGUCCAUCCAUAGACCAAUAUUCUAAUGUUUAAUGGUCUUCUAAGGACCCUAAAGGUCAGGUUUAGCAGAAACUGGAUGUAACAGUGGUAACUAUUAAUAGUAUAGCAUCAUUAACUCAUAAAAUGAAAUAUUAUCUAUGUUUAUAUUUUAAUAUUUUAAUUUUUUUCUUUUUUAUUCUGUAGGAAUUGCUCCAUUCCAAUAAAAAUAUUUUAAAUUUAAUCAUUGACAACAGUUAAGCUGGCCAUAGGCUGAGGAUUGAGGAUGGUGGGUUGCACAAAUAUCUGCUGAAUGGAGAGCUAGAAGGAGGAUGACUUCAAGAAGAGUCAGCAAUAGGAACGCAAUGAAAGACAACCUCAAAUUCAUUAGUCAGCCUGUCUCAGCUGCUUUUUGGUGGCUCACAGCUAUGCUAACCUAGCAUAAAGCAGUGAGAAAUAGAAUACUUCAUUUUGAGCAGAGCUUCAGAAAACCACAAAUAGUAAAAGCCCUAUAAAUAAUAGCUACAGCUGCAAACCAAAGACUAAUUAUUAGUUUUUAACUCUAUAUCCCUGUAGAGCAGCAUUUUUGAACACACAAAAAAAGAGAAACGCGUUCACUUACGUCUUAGAUUAUUUAAAUACAGUAUUCUCAAUUUGUCUAGGAUAAAAAAGCAUUUAGGUGUAUUGAACAACCAUAUAAUGGAUAAUAUACUGAACAGGAAAUGAGAAUAAUUAGCUUGAGUCCCUUUUUUGUCAGUUGUUCACCGUAUGACCCUAGCAAUGUUACUUAACCUCUCUAUGCCCUAGUUUCUCUGACUGUAAAAUAGAGAUAAUAAUAACUUUCUAUCAGCCGCCUCUCAAAGAUAUUAUAGGAAAUAACAAAUUAAUGCUAUGAAAGCUCUUUGAGGUACUUGGAUGAAAGGGCAUAAUUGUAAGUACAUAUUAUUAGUAAUUAGCACUAAUAUCCAGUAGCACCCAUGAGCAUUCCUGACUUUGCUGCCUGGAUUACUCAAAGAACAUGAAGGAUCCUGUUUUGAAAUACACUUAGAUCUUUUUUCUUAACUUGUGAAUUGACUUUACUAUUUAUGAUCAAACCUUGUGUAUUAACAAAUAUAGUUAAUGAAAGAGGGAAGUAAAAAGAAGUUUUGGUAACCACAACUUUUAUAUUCAUGCUACUCAUAGCUAAUAUAUGCUUUGGGGGAAAAUACAGGGUAGAUAGGGAUUUGCCAGAAGCAUGUUUUAGAAUUAAUGAUUAGUCUACUCCAGUCAGUUAACUGGAAUUUUGUAUUAAAAACAUUAUUCAUGUCCCCAUAGAAUAAUGCAGUCCCUAUAGAAUUUAUAGACAGUUACAUGUUUGACACAAUUAAGUUGAACAUUCCUGUGAAACUCUGUCAUUCUCAUCACUGUUUAAUCACAAACAUGUAAUGAAAUAUAUAGACUUGUGAAGUUUUGUCCAA